rnacentral:lncRNA from 10 species
AUGAGUAGCCACUGCACCUUGCCCUGCGCCAUAGCUUCCCCAAGUAUUAUUACCACAGUACUAUAGAUGACACUGAAGCUCAGAGCAGUUAAACCAUUUUCCUCAGAUCACAUAACUUUAAAGAGGGAAACCAGAUAUGGGAAGCAGAUUUCUUUCUAAAUGAAAAAAUCAUGAGCUCUUGCUUUCACUUAGCACAUAGUCUCAUCAUCUGUUUUCUUCACACCAGCUCACUCAUGUAACAUUCAUUCAUUUACCAAAUACAGAUAAAUGAGUGGAUUUAUUCUUGCUUUCAUCAGAUACUAAUUCAAAAUCGCUUCUGUGUCUGCUACACUGUGCUCAAGACUUGCCAGUGCCUUUGUCUCCUCUCCCUCAAAUCUCUCCACCCAAUGUCUUGACAAAUACUGUAGAUUCUUCCUGCAUAACCUCUCCAGAAUCUUUUCCUUCUGUUAUCCAUGCUACAGUGUUUAUGGAGGAUGUUUUCUUCACCUAUGAAGUGUGAUGGGGGCUGAAGCUGCAGCAAGACUCAUGCUGUUCACCUCAGGAGCUGACACAGUAAAUGUGGAUAAACCUCAAUCCUUUAAUAUCUUUAUGACUUCUUUCCCAGUUACCCCAGCGAAUUUACAGAUUGAGGUUAAAACCACAACAGGAUUAUCUUCCUGGAAAGAAUAGGCUUCCCUUUAAGGUUUCACAUAGAUACUGGGUGAGGAAGGAGCCCUAAAUUGCUUGAAAAAUUGAAUGCUCUUUGGGCAAAGCAGGAAGCCUUGCUAUGGAAGAGCAUCAUUUGAACAUAAAUCAGAGUCUCAGUACAAACAGAGUGCUCAGGACAUCAAGAUGGUUAACCAGAGAGCCUGGCCAGAAUAUCUGCGGUGGAGAGAAACGAUCUUGUUGGGAGAAGGAUGACAAU